CUUGAUUAUUCAAAGUACCCAAGCCAAAAGUCCCAUGGCAAAAGGCUGUUGUUCUCAUGCUAAAAUUGGAAGAAUUUUCCCAUUUGGACGGGCAUAUCAUGCUUAACAUACAGAAUAACAAAGGAAAAUUUUAAACACCAGGCAAGAGGAUGGAAAAUAUCAAGAACCAGAAAAGGGGACUUGUUGCUAUGAAUAAUCAAGGCUAGCCUAUUGAAUUUCGAAAUGGUUCCUAAAGAUACUAGAAUCCCACCUCACAUGUACACCAGAAGAGGGAAAAAAAAAAAAAAAAGGCAGAAAUUUCCUGUAUAAGAGGUCCAAGGAUGGAACUAUUGCCUGCUAUCUCCAUGAUACAAAAUUGAUACCAAGAACCUUGUAUAUAAACACUAAAAAGCUAUCAACCAUUUUAUUGGUUGCCCCCAUUAGCCUCUGGAGAAACAUUGCCCGUACUUCUAUCAUUAUCUUUCUUCAGUCCGGAACGAGAU
rnacentral:misc_RNA from 1 species